rnacentral:piRNA from 1 species
CACGUUGGCCAGGCUGGUGUCCA